rnacentral:ncRNA from 1 species
CUUUCGGCUCACAUCCAUGCUUAGGAUGCUGGCAUAAUGGCUUUAAGCGACCCGUCUUGAAACACGGACCAAGGAGUCUAACAUGCCCGCGAGUGUUUGGGUGUUUAAAACCCGAGCGCGUAAUGAAAGUGAAAGUUGAG